CUUCCGCAGUGUACACUUACCGAAGCCUUUGCAGCCACGCAAGUGGCAGGCCCGGCGACUCUAAACAAACUCGGUGCCGCUGCAAGUCGGUCCGCCCGCUGGGGGGGUUGGGCCGGCGACACUUUCGAAUUGACGGGGACACCCUAAAGCCGAUCGCACCAACCCGCGGCGGGAAACCGCCCGGGGGCCCGUGGUAACGACACGGGGGACGGUAACAGACGAUCCGGAUAGUUCUGCGCCCGCGCAGAGAGGAUGGGCAAUCCGCAGCGAAGCCUCUACGUCCCCUCCGGGGGAUACGAGGAACGUCCACAGACUAAGUGGAAGUGGGUAGGGUGGCCGGUGCCGCCCUGCUUAAGAUAUAGUCGGGCCCCCCGGGAGACCGGGGGGGCGAGUACACUGCCUCUCGCCUGAGAAACCGUUCCGUAGGUGAACCUGCGGAAGGAUCAUUAAUGAGUGCAGGCCCUCUGGGUCUAACCUCCCACCCGUGUCUAUUGUACCUUGUUGCUUCGGUGGGCCCGCCUGACGCCAGGUCGCCAGGGGGCACUCCCCGGGCGCGCGCCCGCCGAAGACACCCUGGAACUCUGUCUGUGAGUGUUGUCUGAGUAGGAUUUGAAUCAGUUAAAACUUUCAACAACGGAUCUCUUGGUUCCGGCAUCGAUGAAGAACGCAGCGAAAUGCGAUAAGUAAUGUGAAUUGCAGAAUUCAGUGAAUCAUCGAGUCUUUGAACGCACAUUGCGCCCCCUGGUAUUCCGGGGGGCAUGCCUGUCCGAGCGUCAUUGCACCCCUCAAGCCCGGCUUGUCCUUGGGUUGUGUCCCUCCGUCCCGGGGGGACAGGCCUCAAAUGCAAUGGCGGCACCGCGUCCGGUCCUCGAGCGUAUGGGGCUUUGUCACCCGCUUUGUAGGCCGGCCGGUCGCUUGCCCCU
rnacentral:misc_RNA from 1 species